AUAACUAUGAUGUAAUCAGGUAGUAAAGAAACUAAAAUCUGCUACCUGAUGUUCUCCUUAGGUGUAGGAUUCAAUUUGCAACUGCAGAAUUCCUACGAUUCAAGCUUCUGAGGUAUGGCAUGCACAUCUCCUAUUAUCGAAAAGGUCCAACCAUGGAGCUAUCAGUACAUGUGAUGCUUGCUCCCUUACAAAUGAACAGGGGCUUCUACAAAUUGGACUAUGUAGUGGCUGAGUCAAAUUGCUGCUGAUGCCUGCAGGCUGAAGGUUGAGAGGAGCUGUCCCAUCACCCGUAUAAUACCAUUUGGCUGCCAGCUUUUGAUACAUAGCAGAUUGCCAGAUCAAUUAACACCUAAGAUACAAUUCUUCCAGCCACAACUAAUCAAAGAUCUCUACUCCUUUUGUUCCUGCUGAAAAGGCUACCGAAUAUCGUCAGACGCGGAAAUUGAUGGAUCAGCACCUUGCUUCUG